UGUCUUGCUAGCUCAGUAGGUAGAGCAUCUCCCUUUUAAGGAGGGGGUCGUUGGUUCGAAUCCAACGCAGGACACAUU
rnacentral:tRNA from 1 species